rnacentral:rRNA from 1 species
GAUGAACGCUGGCGGCGUGCCUAAUACAUGCAAGUCGAGCGAACGGACGAGAAGCUUGCUUCUCUGAUGUUAGCGGCGGACGGGUGAGUAACACGUGGAUAACCUACCUAUAAGACUGGGAUAACUUCGGGAAACCGGAGCUAAUACCGGAUAAUAUUUUGAACCGCAUGGUUCAAAAGUAAAAGACGGUCUUGCUGUCACUUAUAGAUGGAUCCGCGCUGCAUUAGCUAGUUGGUAAGGUAACGGCUUACCAAGGCAACGAUGCAUAGCCGACCUGAGAGGGUGAUCGGCCACACUGGAACUGAGACACGGUCUAGACUCCUACGGGAGGCAGCAGUAGGGAAUCUUCCGCAAUGGGCGAAAGCCUGACGGAGCAACGCCGCGUGAGUGAUGAAGGUCUUCGGAUCGUAAAACUCUGUUAUUAGGGAAGAACAUAUGUGUAAGUAACUGUGCACAUCUUGACGGUACCUAAUCAGAAAGCCACGGCUAACUACGUG